rnacentral:antisense_RNA from 1 species
UUGCUGCGCAGGACCCCUUGAAAAAAAAUGAGGACCCGUCUCUUUUAGGUCACAAGAUUGCGCCAACCCUUACAUGGUCCUUAAAAAAAAAACCUUCUGACACUGCAGUAGUGAAAAUGAAGCGCACGAUGGGCGGAAGCUAGGAAGACAAACAUAAAGAUGAAGUGCUUAAUUCAAGGUCACACAAUGUCGGGGAUGGACCUCCAGAUUUCCUUACUGACCUGCAUUAUCUUGUGGAUACCUGAGUGAAUUCCACACCACCCAUUUUAUAGAUGAAACCACUGAGACAUGGAGCAACUGACUGAGUAGUCACUGCCCCACCCCUGCCUGGAGCCUCACACAUGACUCGUCUCCUCUCAGUGACCACAGGUGAGACGUGGUCUUGUAACACAGUGGUUAAGAAUGUGACUUUGGAGCCAGCCUGCUAGGGGCUGAAUUCUGACUCAGCCAUUUACUAACUGUGUGACCUUAGUCUUAGUCUAGUGACUGGUGUUGUCAUAAGAAGAGAGGGACACAGAGGGAAGAUGGCCACAUGAAGAUGGAGGCAGAGAUUGCAGUUAUGCUGCUGCAAACUAAGGAAUGGCUCUGGCCCUCCAAGGGUUGCUGAUAACCACCAGAAACUAGAAGAGACAAGGAAGCAUUCUUCCCUAGAGCCUUCAGAGGGAGCAUGGCCCUACUGACACCUGGAUUUCAAACUUGUAGCUUCCUAAACUGCAAGAGAAUAAAUUUCUGUUGUUUUAAGCCA